rnacentral:lncRNA from 1 species
GACUAUCGUUGUGACUGCGUUGAGAACAUCUUUCUGAUUUUUGCUGAACAAAUCAACCUACUUGCUGGGCAGGCGUGGUGCCAGAGCCUUUAUUGUGUCCAGCGUUGGCAAUUUUUCGUUGGGAUCGAGACGACCCACGCGUCUCUCCCCUGUCAUGGCAGCGAGCCCUGCUCGUGUUGAAAACCUCUGGAGGUCGGUUAAUUAUUAUAUUCCUUUGCUUAGGACAGUGUUGUUAAUACUAAGGCGGGAUAGGAACUCCAUACAACACGUGUCUGGCCGAACUCCGGGACUAGCGUCCCGUUGUCUCGUUCCCGGCAGUUAAGUCUUCUGCGCAUUCCAGGUCGAUAUGCUUUGCAGUUUGGGGCCGAGCCCAGGAAUGCUGCGUCUGCUAUGGCAUCAGUUUCCGAGAUACUUUUUUCAAAAACUUGGAAUCACUAUGUUGGAUACCUGUCUUUCAUUCUUUCCCGUAAUGUCUCAGCGGCAUCCUUUUUCUGAGAGGACGGUCCCCGAAAAGCUGUACGUCACCUGCACAGCGAACGACAGCCUCUUCGAUGGGCAACUUGCGCUUACACCUGGAAUGAAAUCUGGCAGGUGCUCGUUACGCCACCCGGUUCGCUCUAGUUCCUCUUGUUCUGUGGAAGCCUCAGCAUGGGGAAUGCACCUAACCGAGAUAGUCGAGCGACAGGUGUGAGAACUGAUACCUCAGGCAAUGGCCGAGGCCCUGAUGGUGCCGGCGUGAGACACGAUGGCCAUCCACCUGUCCAGCCUUCGAAUUCAAGCGGAGUACCAGCAUCGACCGUUUCAGCAUUUUGUCCGUCUGUUGUUAUCCAAUCAUGCGUAGCCAUGAAGGAGGCGGCGGAAUGUGGACAGUGCUUGGAUGGCACUGAAGAAAAGAUAGCGGCAGUGCCUCGGAGUAUCGUCCUACCAGAACAGUUCUUCCCUCUCACUAUAGACGCAGACCGGCCGAACAAGUUUCUCUUCAUAACAAACACGUACCAUGAUGAUCAAACACGCCAUCGUACGGCUCUGCAUGACUGCGCCAAUACGGUGGGAGCCCUGCAGAGAUUGUUGAUGCCUUCGUUGAGGGAGCAGAAGCAUGGUGAUUCGCCUAGAUGGAUCUCCAGUCCUCACUAUCAGCGAAAAGAAACGAUGCAGAGAAGUGUGACGCUCGAGAAUAGCAGCAUCACAUUCAUUGUCAAUCGACCCAAAGCACGAUUUCUGCAGGAAUUCGACGAAUUUUGUCACUGUAUUCAACCUGGUGACAGCGUCUGCGUAUACUACUCAGGGUUUGCGACUCAGGUAAGCGCACAGCCGUGUCUGGUUACACCGACGAGUCAUAGCGAGGCCCGCCAAUAUGCCAAACCUCAACACAACAUGAAACGCAACGCCGUCAACCUGGUCGACAUGGUGGACUCGGUAGCUGCUCGGUCCCCAAGGCUCGUGUGUUUUAUUUUGGAUUGCGCAGCAGAUUUCGAUGCCCGACACAGGCGUGCCCUACCGAUUUCUGUGGGCCUGCCGAUGAUCUACGAAUUUGUCGGAGACAAAGUAAUUAUCAUGCAGAGUCUCGCUCCCGGUGCCUCGUUAUCAUCUGAAUUGCUAUCUCAACGGACAACGACUGCGGAAGAUUAUGCCGCAUACACUGGUCUUCGAGAACCUCAGGAGGAGGAGAUGGAAAGGUACGAGAAAGGGCACGAAGCUCUUUCGCUAACCAGUACUCUCCACAGCCCGGUUCGGGGCAGAAAAGUGUCUCGAUGGGAUUCAGAAGGGAGAGGCCGACCGUACCAAGAUCCGUCAGAAGAGAACUCAAACGGCGAGACAAAUGUGAGACGUUACUCUUGCGAUUCGCAGGAAAUGCAAGAUCUCGACCACAUAGAGGUUCCGUGUGAUGUUAAGCUUCGAACGCCGUACGAAUCAUUCUUGGCACAUGCUAAACGCUCUUGCGGACCAGACGAACUGGCAUCCAUGCCGGGAACGUGGGAAAGUUGCAUUGAGCCGUGCAGUAACUUGUCGUUCUGCAUUAAUCAGGCGUCGCGUAGCCUUGCGAAAGGGACAGGUCUUGAUUUCGUGAGAAUGGCGCAGCUAAUUGCUUCACUGGUUUAUCGUGUCACGGGCAACACACAGGCUUUUUGCUGCCUAACAAACAUGUAACCGAGGGAGACCUCAUCGCCUGCGUAGAUACUAGGAACUCAAGGCCGCAUGCCUUCUCCCUUCAUAUAGAACCCAACUGCUUUAUUUGCGAUGCCGGGACUCCGCCUUCAUAAAAGGUAAUGUCCACCAAGGUGGCAGAACACCGGCCUCCCCAUAUGGGAAGGAAAUAUGGGAACCUAGGUACAGACUUGGCAGGGGGAUUUAAUUCAAUUUAAUACCAUUAAUUUACGUAAAAAUAAAUUAUUUAAUGAAAAUGUUUUGUUGUCGCACCCCUCGUUUUGCAGUGCGGCGUGCUGUUCGAUUUUAAACGGUGUAGACAGGUUGUCGAAACCACGGAGCGCUUCAAGAACAAGUGUAGCGAGGACUGUGAUGAGUAUGCCGUCGGCAGUCGUGUCUGGGCAUUUGGUCGAGUUAGUGGUUGCUUUCUGUGGUGUUUAUACACUACCAUAUGCGACUUAGGGUUUUAGAGGACACCGCAUUUCUGGGGGAACUGGCGUGUCUGUGUUCCUAGAGUCAGUUCUGCUCCCGGUCAGGGCGAUUCCAUGUGGAGACAAGAAUCCUUCCCAUUGCAUUUCUUCAACUUGUGUGUAUGGGCAAUUAGUAAUCCAGUUACGCUGAAAUGUGUGUACCUGAAGAGAAAUUAUGUCUUCCACCGCGCGGUCAACUGUAGCAGUGAACCCGGCGGCGCACGCCGAAUCUCUUCAGCGCUGUUUGGACGUAGUACCGACGCCCUUUCAGUUGAACAAGGACAAAUCGCUUUCAUGGUCAGUGUUCAGCAAUCCAUUCUGGUGUCUUAAAGAUGCUCACUUUCGAU